rnacentral:SRP_RNA from 1 species
GGAAUGCAGCAGGGGUAGCAAUUAUGGUGGUGGUGGUGGU